rnacentral:pre_miRNA from 1 species
AGUGGGAUUACUGGGUCAAAUGGUGAUUUCAUUUCAAGUUUUUCUGAGAAAUCUCCAUACUGCUUUACAAAGUGGUUGCACCAAUUUGCAGUCCCACCAGCACU